rnacentral:rRNA from 1 species
AUGAACGGGCGGGGGCGGCUGCUGCUCUGCCUCUUCCUCUCGGCCGCGCUGACCCCGCCGUGGCAGCUCGCCGUCGCCGGAGCGGCCUCCGGUUCCAGUUCCAAGGUGGUGACCAGCCUCCCGGGGUUCCAGGGCCGCCUCCCCUUCCACCUCGAGACCGGGUACGUGGAGGUGGACGAGGAGAACGGCACGGAGCUGUUCUACUACUUCGUGGAGUCCGAGGCCGGCGCGGAGAAGGCCCCUUUCCUCCUCUGGCUCACCGGCGGCGACCGCUGCACCGUACUCAGUGGCCUCGCCUUGGAGAUCGGUCCAUUCCAGUUCGUCGCAGAGCCCUACAACGGCACCAUACCGCGCCUGCAAAUCAACCCCUACUCAUGGACCAAGGUGGCAAAUAUCCUUUUCGUCGAUACACCGGUUGGGGCAGGAUUUUCCUUCUCAAGAAGGCCCCAAGGCUACGAUGUCGGGGAAGUAUCUACCUCGUUGCAGCUCCAUGAACUCCUCAUCAAGUUUUUCAUUGACCGUCCUGAGUUCCUCGCAAAUCCUCUCUACAUCGGGGGAGACUCUCGUGCUGGACAACUUGUGCCAUUUAUCGCUCAAAAGAUCUCAGAAGGCAUCGAAGCUGGAAGGAGCCCCAUCCUUAAUCUCAAGGGCUAUCUGGUAGGCAACCCGGGUACCGGCGAAAACAUUGAUAUUAGCUCUAGAGUGCCGUAUGCUCAUGGACUUGGUAUAAUAUCAGAUCAGUUAUAUGAGACAAUAUUGGAGCAUUGCCAAGGAGAAGACUACAUGAAUCCUAGAAAUACACUGUGCGCUCAAUCUCUAGGCACUUUCAACAAUCUCCUCUCCGAAGUUAUGGCCGCCCAAAUUUUGUUGGACAACUGCGUUUAUGCAUCUCCUAGACCAGGCACUGAGACGGGGAAGUCAGCUGGUGCUGCUCGGAAGAUCCUAAGCGAGGAAGCAGUAAUCGUACCGGGGAAACGAGUAAAACACCCGCCACCUCGUGUGCCACUGGGCUGCAUUAGCUACACGGCUUACCUGUCGUAUUUCUGGGCAAACGACCCGCUCACCCGAGACGCCCUGGGGAUCAAGGACGGCACCGUGGACGAGUGGGUGAGGUGCCACGACGGCGACCUGCCGUACGCCGUGGACAUCGGGAGCAGCAUCAAGUACCACCGGAAUGUCACCGUCAACGGUUACCGUGCGCUGGUGUACAGCGGCGACCACGACGCGAUUGUGCCGCACCUGGGGACGCAGGCGUGGGUGAGGUCGCUCGGCUUCCCCGUCGUCGACGACUGGAGGGCAUGGCAUCUCGACGGCCAGUCUGCCGGAUUCACCGUAGCUUACUCCAACAACAUGACAUUCGCGACCGUAAAGGGAGCCGGGCACACGGCGCCCCAGUACGAGCCCGAGAGGUGCUACGCCAUGUUCAACCGUUGGAUACUGGACCAGCCGCUCUAG